CAUCGUCACCAUUUGAAGGAAUUUUGGAGAAAGAAAUAAGAGUUAAAGCAAGUGUGGUGAAUAAAAUAGGAGUUGAAGCAUUAUACAGAGAUAAAGACGGCUCCCUACAACUUCUACCCCUCACUAAAGUUGGGUAGCUAAAACACUGAGGAUGAAGAAGAAGAAGAAUUACUGGAAGCGCCAAAUAUAAGACCCAAAAAGAUUUUUUUGUUCAUGUUGUGUAUGUCUCAUACAUAUUCGAGGAUGGUAGGCGUUGAACAGAACGGAGCAGAGUGGAGUGG